rnacentral:rRNA from 1 species
UACGUAGGGGGCAAGCGUUGUCCGGAAUCAUUGGGCGUAAAGCGCGUGUAGGCGGCUUCGUAAGUCCGUUGUGAAAGUCCAGGGCUCAACCCUGGAAUGCCGAUGGAUACUGCGGAGCUAGAGUCCGGAAGAGGCGAGUGGAAUUCCUGGUGUAGCGGUGAAAUGCGCAGAUAUCAAGGAGGAACACCAAUGGCGAAGGCAGCUCGCUGGGACGGUACUGACGCUGAGACGCGAAAGCGUGGGGAGCAAACAGG